UUUGAAAUUUUUCCUUUUGAUUCUUGCUAACAUUUGAGAAGGGUUUUCUUUUGACUUAUAUCUUAUUUCAAGUGGAUAAACUUUGUCAUAAUAGAUGCACCAAUUAAAGGCGUACACAUUGCAAAACAAAUUGAGUAGGGGAAAGGAUAUUGUGAGCUGGGAAUGCUUUAUAAUUAAUUUUUAAAUAUUAAAUAUAUUUUGGAUGCUAGAUCCUUUUCUCUUUUAUUAACUUUUCUGUUGAAGGAAACAAGUUGGAGGCAAAAAUUUGAAGUGAAGCGAGGAAAAGGAAAGGGCACUUCUUUUUUUCUUUUGCCCCUCUUUUUUCUCUAUUGAGGAUGACUCAAAGAGAUGCAAACAUUGAUUGGUACUCUAGUCUAUAAUGAUAGGGGGUUAUCUUAGGUUGUAGAUAUCUAAACAGUGGUGCUCUUCUUUUUUUCUUCCCUCUCCUUUAUUUAUGUUUCAUAAUCCCUUUAUUAUUAGUGUAUCCAGCCCGGUCUUCAAUUAAAGGUAAAGGGACAUGAUCAUUUGGAAUCUUCUUUUUCUUAUGAAAGAGGAAAGUGGUCUAAUAUAACUCUCUCCCAUCCAUUCAUCUUAUGAAUUAGGGAACACAACCGAUUAGCUAAGACUAGAAAAUGGACAAUAAGGGAAGAAACUGAUCUUUUUUUCACGGUCAAAGUCCCCUUUAGGAAUAUCCACAUGGCUAAGGUUGUCCAAAGCAUUUCUUUUUGUUGAUAAGAAAUUGAGCUUUAAUUGAGAAAUAUUAAGAAUAUGCAGGAUCAUUUAAAAAAAUAACCUAUACAAAUGGCAAAUGCCCAAAAGGGCGGUGUUAAACCCAAUGUUUUUCUAGAGAACAUCCAACUAAUGCUCAAGCCCUUUGAGAAUCCUGUUUUUUCUUUGAAGCCAAAUACACUAUAUCACCAAAAAAAAAAAAGAAGGGUACACGGGCUUUUGGGAAAGGAGAGGGAAGACACAGAGACUGAAAUAAGAGCUAGAAGAAAAGCCCCUCAACAGGCCCACAGCAAAAUUUAUUUUUUAAAUUUAUUGUUAUUAUUAUUAUUAUUUUGGAUAGGAAACAGAUCUUUAAAAAACAAAAGAGAUAAUCUAAGCAAGAAUCCCUUCUCCCUUGGUUGAUCUGAGCAUCCCUAAUCAACCUGAGUAGGGUUAUAACCUCGGAUGCUCUUUUUAUAUGUUAGAGGACAGGUGAAAGGUAAGUAACUGGAGAACAAAUUAGCAACAUAGACAAAUAGGAUAGAGGUUUAAACAACCCUCUCAAAAGUAGGUAGCAUAAUCUUCACCUCCACUUGAGCAAUACAAGGGCUUCUAGCAGAACCCUUAAUCCCACAUGCUGAGCGCAAUCAAGGGGGUGUGUAAGCUUUAUUUAUGACUGAUUGUGCUUCCACAGGGUGUUAGAUUCUGAGAAAAGCACCCCGACCACAUCUCAGCAUAUCGAUGCCUAACUCCUUCCUCCCACCUAGCAUCUAACCAAAGGUCCGAAACAGAAACCCCCUUCUUCCUCCCUCCCACAAGAAAUCCCUCAGAAGAAAAUUUCUAAAGAAAGGCAGAAAGAGCCUUCAACUACAUCAUCCACAAUGAAAUUAGAAAUUCCUCAAAAGAAUUUCUAAAGAAAAGGGUUUGCCCACUGUCUCCGAAGAAAAGAUUUGUAACAUCAUUGCCAAUGGACUACUAUAAUUCACUUCUUGGCCCUAGAAAGCUUUCAUAUAUUUAAAUAUAUAUUAUAUGAUCAGUUUUUUUAGGAUACUCAAUGCAAGCAGUUUCUUCUAUUCUCUAAAGGAAGGUUUUGUUGGUUUGUCGACUUUCUUCCCAAAUAACUUCCCGCCUUUCUGCAUGAUUUUCAUGGAAGGUUUCUUCUUGAAGAAAAAGUGUUAGGAUACUUCCUAAUAGGAAUUAAUAUAUUUCAUAUAUUGAAAGUUAACUAAGAACUACAAUAUGAUCCAAGUUUAUGGUACUUCGGACCCCCUCUCUUGAGAAUACUACUCAAGACCUAUCUACUCAACAACUCCCCCUUCUUCACUCACCAACUUCUUAUUUAUAACCACAAUGGCUAGUAACCGCCUAAAUAUCUAAUUAUCCUUAUACCCCUAACCCUUUACUAAUCUAGGCAUCUAACAUUACCCCGCCCAUCGAAACACCUUAUCCCCAAGGUGUGCUUACAAACAUGAUCACAAGUUGGGCCGUUUUAUUUUUUAUUUUUUUUUAUUUACCAACAAUCCCCACUUUACUAAUCUAGGCAUCUAACAUUACCCCGCCCAUCGAAACACCUUAUCCCCAAGGUGUGCUUACAAACAUGAUCACAAGUUGGGCCGUUUUAUUUUUUAUUUUUUUUUUAUUUACCAACAAUCCCCAGCAGUCUGCUCUUCAAUGUUGAAAAAGAAAUUCUCCCCUUAAGCUUUGAAAAACUCUUGGCUCCAAUAAGGUCCAUUGACUUCAGCCCAUAGCUCAGAAUCAUCUUCCUUAGCCCGGAAAGCAGCCCAAUGUUCUUGAAUUUUCCUUUUCCCAAACACAUUGUCAUAGUUAACCCUUUGCAUAUCAACAACACCAAGUGUUUAAUUUUCAACCUCUUCUUCUCUAGUAGGCUAGGCCCAUAAUCAAAUUGUUGUGCCAAACGCCAAUUAUCUUGGGCCAGCACACCUUUACCCUCCUUAAAGCCAUGAGCUUCCGACGGUUCAAACCCAUAACAAAGCCCAAAAUCAAACUGCUGUCGGUUUCAUUCCAGACACGUUUUUCUUCCUCCCAUUUUUGGAACUCACCACCCACUUCACCUACAGAGUGAUGGGCCUCCAAUGUUUUAUUUAGAAUAAGCUGAAGCCCAUUUGAACUAGUAAAACCCAAAAUUUUAUGGUUUGUUUCUUUUGCCCAAAUCUUAUUUCCCAUCAAUUUUUGCCACAUCAUUGGCACCAUUUCCUGACAUUUCACGUGGGCAGCAACUUCUUCUCCCACCUCUUCACCCAUUUCACCCCUAUUCCAGACCACCUUUGCCAGCCACCGUAUAUCGGUUUCAGAGCCUUUAUCAAUGCUGCCAACCGCAGUAACUCGGCCUUGAUUGCCAUAAUUAUCGCUUCCAUUCUCGUUGACUUCCUUAACUCCUUCCGGCGCAGUUAGCAGCAAUUCGAUUUGCCAUACUCUUCGCCAUCCCAACCAUUGAACGGCGACAUCUUCUUUCUUCAUCACAACCAAGCAUUUUUUGCUUCUUUGAGCAACAACUUUUUCUUCACUCGAGUCUUCGUUUCAAGCCACACGAACAAUUGCUGCCAACCUUCCUCUAUAGUUUCUUCUCGGUCACUCUUUGCAAACCUUUCACCUUUUUUGUACAUUCAUUGCAACCACAUUUUCCACGAGAUUUAUCUUUGACCAUGCUAGUUUUUGCAGUUCUCGCUUCCUCUUGUUUUGACAUAUCUUUGCUAGUAUUAGCUAUUUCUUUAUAACUUUCUUCCUCCACCUAUGCCUGGUUUUCUUUUUCAUCAUGUGAACAUGCUCGUCUCAAUAGCCUGAAAUUUUAGCACAUUCGUAUGAAUUCCAGCAAGUUCUUGAUCAAUCACAUUUAGUCUUUUUUCCUUCUCUUUUUACACCAUUUUUUGGAUUCUCACCCAGGUUGUUGCUUUGAUACCAACUUGUUAGGAUACUUCCUACAAGAAUUAAUCUAUUUCAUAUAUUGAAAAUUAAUUAAGAACUACAAUAUGAUCCAAGUUUACGGUACUUGGGACCCCCUCUCUUGAGAAUACUACUCAAGACCUAUCUACUCAACAACUCUCCCUUCUUCACUCAUCAACUUCUUAUUUAUAACCACUACUGUCAGUAACUGCCAAAAUAUCUAAUUGCCCUCAUACCCUUAGCUCUAUACUAAUCUAGUAUCUAACAAAAAAGCCUUCUCCGACGCGUGCCUAGGUGCACCUAUGCUCAAGGCACAGGUCUGGCACCUUGCCUUGGAAAGGCGAGGCUCACAAAAUAAGAGGCAUCUUUUUAAUGUAAUAUUUUUGUAUUCAGUGUGCCUCACAAGAAAAAGUCCAUACCUUAUUGUGCGACUUGUGCCUAGGCCUUCAUAGGGCCAAUUCUUCUUAGUGUGCCUUGGGCAUUUAAAAAUGUUAGAAAUAGUGGGCUUGGGUCUUGUUGAAAGCCCAAGUGUAGUUGAGAUUUACUUUGCCCUAAUUUUUUAUUAUUUUGAUUAGGCUCAUGUUGUCUAUAAAUAUUUCUCCCUUUGUACCUUUAUUAUCAUAAAGAAAAUAAUAUGAAAUACCAGCAUCGUGGUUUUUUUCCUUGUACUAGGGUUUUCAUGUAAAUUUGUGUUUGUUCUACGUACUUUCAAUAAAAAUAAACAUUGGGAAAAACCAAGUUACUUUGAUUAGUACUCAUAUUUGGAUCUUCUGAAAUGAAGAACUAGGAAAAGAGGACUCGAGGAUGAGGAGAAAGAAACCCCUCCCCUGCACCUACAUCUUAGCUUCUAUGUCCCUCAAUAAGGAUGGAGAAGUCAGGCAUGCCUUCAUUUUUUUAAAGGAAACGAGACCACUAAUAUAAUGAAAGGAGUCUAAUACAAAAUAUAGAAACUGAAAAUAAAAGUUCAAAUAAAAGAUACAAUCUCAAUUAAACAGAGCAAAUGAAAACGUUCCGAUUCAAGCAAAUGUUUUGAAUUGAAUAAUUAUAGAAAGCCUUCGUAGCGAGAACACCGUGUGGAGGCAAGAAGAUGAGGAGAUCCAAAAUGAAACAACCAAGAAAGGUUUUUAUCAUGAAAAAACCCUCUAAUUUAUUUCAAACCAUACUUUAGACUGUUGAGCAUUCACUGAAUUGGAUUAUAAAUUUUAUGAAGUAUGUGCCAAAAGAGGGCCCACCAAAAUCUGAAGUAUAUUAUUCUGAAACGGCUUGACAAAGUUCCAAGAGAAAAGUAUCUUCCUUCAUUGUAGUUGAGUUUUUUCUUCUAGAAAAAAGGCUAUGGUUUAGACUCUUCUUUUCUACCUCUGGUUAUGUU